UACACUCCUACGGGAGGCAGCAGUGGGGAAUUUUGGACAAUGGGCGAAAGCCUGAUCCAGCAAUGCCGCGUGUGUGAAGAAGGCCUUCGGGUUGUAAAGCACUUUUGUCCGGAAAGAAAUCCUUGGCUCUAAUACAGUCGAGGGAUGACGGUACCGGAAGAAUAAGCACCGGCUAACUACGUGCCAGCAGCCGCGGUAAUACGUAGGGUGCGAGCGUUAAUCGGAAUUACUGGGCGUAAAGCGUGCGCAGGCGGUUUGCUAAGACCGAUGUGAAAUCCCCGGGCUCAACCUGGGAACUGCAUUGGUGACUGGCAGGCUAGAGUAUGGCAGAGGGGGGUAGAAUUCCACGUGUAGCAGUGAAAUGCGUAGAGAUGUGGAGGAAUACCGAUGGCGAAGGCAGCCCCCUGGGCCAAUACUGACGCUCAUGCACGAAAGCGUGGGGAGCAAACAGGAUUAGAUACCCGUGUAGUCC
rnacentral:rRNA from 1 species